UAGCCGUAAACGAUACUCGCUAGGUGUCGGCCACGGUGCGACCGUUGUCGGUGCCGUAGGGAAGCCGUGAAGCGAGCCACCUGGGAAGUACGGCCGCAAGGCUGAAACUUAAAGGAAUUGGCGGGGGAGCACAACAACGGGUGGAGCCUGCGGUUUAAUUGGACUCAACGCCGGACAACUCACCGGGGACGACAGCAAUAUGUAGGCCAGGCUGAAGACCUUGCCUGAAUCGCUGAGAGGUGGUGCAUGGCGU
rnacentral:rRNA from 1 species